rnacentral:rRNA from 1 species
ACCGAGAUUCCCCCAGUAGCGGCGAGCGAACGGGGAGCAGCCCAGAGCCUGAAUCAGUGUGUGUGUUAGUGGAAGCGUCUGGAAAGGCGCGCGAUACAGGGUGACAGCCCCGUACACAAAAAUGCACAUACUGUGAGCUCGAUGAGUAGGGCGGGACACGUGGUAUCCUGUCUGAAUAUGGGGGGACCAUCCUCCAAGGCUAAAUACUCCUGACUGACCGAUAGUGAACCAGUACCGUGAGGGAAAGGCGAAAAGAACCCCGGCGAGGGGAGUGAAAAAGAACCUGAAACCGUGUACGUACAAGCAGUGGGAGCACGCUUAGGCGUGUGACUGCGUACCUUUUGUAUAAUGGGUCAGCGACUUAUAUUCUGUAGCAAGGUUAACCGAAUAGGGGAGCCGAAGGGAAACCGAGUCUUAACUGGGCGUUAAGUUGCAGGGUAUAGACCCGAAACCCGGUGAUCUAGCCAUGGGCAGGUUGAAGGUUGGGUAACACUAACUGGAGGACCGAACCGACUAAUGUUGAAAAAUUAGCGGAUGACUUGUGGCUGGGGGUGAAAGGCCAAUCAAACCGGGAGAUAGCUGGUUCUCCCCGAAAGCUAUUUAGGUAGCGCCUCGUGAAUUCAUCUCCGGGGGUAGAGCACUGUUUCGGCAAGGGGGUCAUCCCGACUUACCAACCCGAUGCAAACUGCGAAUACCGGAGAAUGUUAUCACGGGAGACACACGGCGGGUGCUAACGUCCGUCGUGAAGAGGGAAACAACCCAGACCGCCAGCUAAGGUCCCAAAGUCAUGGUUAAGUGGGAAACGAUGUGGGAAGGCCCAGACAGCCAGGAUGUUGGCUUAGAAGCAGCCAUCAUUUAAAGAAAGCGUAAUAGCUCACUGGUCGAGUCGGCCUGCGCGGAAGAUGUAACGGGGCUAAACCAUGCACCGAAGCUGCGGCAGCGACGCUGAUGCGUUGUUGGGUA